CAGUCGCCGCGGUAAUACGUAGGGUGCAAGCGUUAAUCGGAAUUACUGGGCGUAAAGCGUGCGCAGGCGGUUCGCUAAGACAGAUGUGAAAUCCCCGGGCUUAACCUGGGAACUGCAUUUGUGACUGGCGGGCUAGAGUAUGGCAGAGGGGGGUAGAAUUCCACGUGUAGCAGUGAAAUGCGUAGAGAUGUGGAGGAAUACCGAUGGCGAAGGCAGCCCCCUGGGCCAAUACUGACGCUCAUGCACGAAAGCGUUGUGAGCAAACAGGAUUAGAUACCCGGGUAGUCCCUGUCUCUUAUAC
rnacentral:rRNA from 1 species